rnacentral:guide_RNA from 1 species
AUAAUAACAACAAUACUCAGUUUCGGUGUGUUUAGUAUGAGUAAAU